GAGUCCAGCAAGGAGGUCUGGGAUUCACACUGAGCACAUGUGUCUGCCCAGGCUUGGGAUGUUUUCUGGGAAGGACUACCUGAAAUUCAUCACGUGUGAAAGUGCAUGAGGAGGACAUGGAAUGAUGCCACAUAUCUUGCUACAAAUAUGUAUAAACAGUUGCUGGCACAUGCUAAAGAACUUGCCAAACAAGUACUCAGGGAGACAACACCUACAACUCACCAGUUGUAGUUACACAACUCAGGGUACAUUAUGUUAAGAGAGAAAGCAUGGUCAUUCCUCAUGUUACAUCUAGGCACAUGGGAAGAAGCUGGAGAGAGGUGUGGUCAGCCUCUGUUACCUCAUAUAGCCUGUUGCCAUGGUUAAAGGCUGUGGUGUUAGUGUGAGGGAGCUCAGGGAUGGGCUGGGAUCUGGAAGGAACUGCAGGGGUUGUCUCCAGCAUGGCCGAAAGCAGGUAGGAGCUCAGCUGGGUUCAAGAGAGAGAGGUACAGUGGCAAAGCAUGGGUUUGCCAGAUGUGCACCACAAUGUUAGAAUGAGAGGAAUUAUAAAUGCUCGCCAUUGUCACUAUGCCAUCAAUAUUAUGGAGUUCAAGGCAAAACCCGUUUUGAUGAUUUGGGAAUAAAAACAAAUGUAUGAGGGGAAAGGAAACUCAGAAGAGGAAUAAAAUCUAAAAUCAGGCUAAAGAACCUAGAACAGGAGAACUGAACUCUGCCUACCAUUUCAGUCUUCUGGUUUCCCUGUGUUUUCAGCUGCACAGACAUGGCUGGCUCUCAGAGUCCCAGGAGCCUCAGGUUCUUACCCUGCCUGAGACUGUCCCUUUCCAGGCUGACCUCUAAUUCAGGGUUUCUCUGUGAAGCCUUGGCUGUUCUGAGAUUUGCUGCAUAUACUAGGCUGUCCUCAAACACAAAAGGUCUGCAUGCCUCUGACUCCCGAAUUUUAGGAUUAAAAGCUUGGGAUGUUUUCUGGGAUGGACUACCUGAAAUUCGUCACGUGAGUAGCUUACUCGGUGUGUCGUACACGUUCUCAUGUAUGUGCUCAUGUCUGCAGGUCUACAUCCAUAUGUGUGAAAGUGCAUGAGGAGGACAUGGAAUGAUACCACAUAUCUUGCUACAAAUAUGUAUAAACAGUUGCUGUCAAGGCUAAAAACAAAGAAGCUUUGGACAAAUUUGAACUCAAAAGAAUCCAGUACUUCAAACAUAAAAAGAAUCAUAUACCCUGAGAGUGAGGAUUUCUGGACCUAGAUAAAUAGGACUGAAAAGAAAGAGGCCUGGCCAAACAUGAAAAAAAAAAAAAAAAAAAAAAAAAAAAGAUAUAUGGGCCCAGGCCUAUUCCUGCUCCAGAAGAGGCUCAGGCCAAAAGCAAAAAGUGAUGUGGGCCUGAGCCUGUCCCUGAACUUUGAAGAGGCCCGGACCAAAAGCAAAAAGUGAUGUCGACCUGGGCAAAUCCCUGACCUUUGAAGAGACCUGGCAUAAAGAAGAAAUGUGGACUUGGGCUUAUACCUAACUUUGAGAGGCCCAGGCCAAAAGCAAGGAGUGAUGUGGGCCUGGACUUAUCCCAGACAAUUGAAGAGGGCCGGACGGAAAAACAAAAAAUGAUAUGGGCCUGGACCUAACCCUGUCCCUUGAAGAGGCCGGGGCUAAAAGCAAAAUGUGAUGUGGGCCUGGGCCUAUCCCUGAAAUUUAAAGAGGCCUGGGCACACUGCAAGAUAUGAAGAGGGUCUGGGCCUAUGCCUGACCUUUGAAGUGGCCCGGACAAAAAGCAAAAAAAUGAGGGCCUGGGCUAAAAGAAAGAAGUGAUGUGGGCCUGGGCCUAUCCCUGAAAUUUGAAGAGGCCUGGGCCUAACACAAGAAGUGAAGAGGGCCUAGGCCUAUGCUGACCCUAGAAGAGCCUUGGGUCAAAAGGAAGAAGUGAUAUGGGCAUUGUCCUAUCCUCCCGAUCCAUGAAGAGGCCUAUCCUUGACAUAUGAAGAGGCCCCGGGCCACAAGAAAGAAGUUAAAGUGCCUGGUCUUAUCCCUGAAGUUUGAAAAGGCCCGGGCCUAAAGAAAGUAGUUUUAUGUUCCCGGGCCUAUUCCUGAACAUUAAAGAGGCCCAGGCCAAAGUAAAUAAGAGAUGAGGGCCUGGGCCUAUCCCUGAACAUUAAAGAGGCCCAGGCCAAAGUAAAUAAGAGAUGAGGGCCUGGGCCCAUCCCUGACCCUUGAAGAGGCUCGGGCCAAAAGGAAGAAGUGAUGUGGGCCUGGGCCUAACCCUGACACUUUGAAGUGGCCUGGGCUUAAAGCAAGAA
rnacentral:lncRNA from 1 species